UACGUAGGGGGCUAGCGUUGUCCGGAAUCAUUGGGCGUAAAGCGCGUGUAGGCGGCCCGGUAAGUCCGCUGUGAAAGUCGGGGGCUCAACCCUCGGAUGCCGGUGGAUACUGUCGGGCUCGAGUACGGAAGAGGCGAGUGGAAUUCCUGGUGUAGCGGUGAAAUGCGCAGAUAUCAGGAGGAACACCAAUUGCGAAGGCAGCUCGCUGGGACGGUACUGACGCUGAGGUGCGAAAGCGUGGGGAGCAAACAGG
rnacentral:rRNA from 1 species